rnacentral:rRNA from 1 species
UUUCGAAUCAUUCACAAUGGGCGAAAGCCUGAUGGUGCGACGCCGCGUGAGGGACGAAGGCCUUCGGGUUGUAAACCUCUGUCACCGGGGAAGAAACGCUAUCUUUUAACAGAAGGUAGCCUGACUUAACCCGGAGAGGAAGCAGUGGCUAACUCUGUGCCAGCAGCCGCGGUAAUACAGAGACUGCAAGCGUUAUUCGGAUUCACUGGGCGUAAAGGGUGCGCAGGCGGCCGUGUGUGUCAGGUGUGAAAGCCCGGAGCUUAACUCCGGAAUUGCGCCUGAAACUACAUGGCUAGAGCAUUGGAGAGGGUAGCGGAAUUCACGGUGUAGCAGUGAAAUGCGUAGAUAUCGUGAGGAACACCAGAGGCGAAGGCGGCUACCUGGACAAUUGCUGACGCUCAGGCACGAAAGCGUGGGGAGCAAAAGG